UAGUUAUGUUCUUGAAACUUAAAAAAUUUGGCGGUAUUUUAGUCUAUUCAGAGGAACCUGUUCUAUAAUCGAUAAUCCACGAUGGACCUUACUUAAGUUUGUAAUCAGUUUAUAUACCGUCGUUAUUAGAAUAUUUUAUAAGAAUGUUAAUUUUCAUAAUUUUUAAAAAGAAAAUAUAUCAGAUCAAGGUGUAGCUUAUAUUUAAGUAGAAAUGGGUUACAAUAAAUUUAUUUAUACGAAUAUAAAUUUGAAAUAUUUAUUGAAGGUGGAUUUGAUAGUAAAAUUAUAAAGAUUAAUAAUUUGAUUUUAGCUCUAAAAUAUGCACACAUCGCCCGUCACUCUUACUAUUAAGGUAAGAUAAGUCGUAACAUAGUAGAUGUACUGGAAAGUGUACCUAGAAUGC
rnacentral:rRNA from 1 species